GGGCGGGUCGCAUAGCGGCAAUUGCAUCAGACUGUAAAUCUGACGUCCUCUGGACUACGGGGGUUCGAGUCCCUCCCCGCCCA
rfam:Parcubacteria group bacterium CG2_30_44_18 cg2_3.0_scaffold_3461_c, whole genome shotgun sequence.